AAAAUCUUAAUAAACAGAAUUGGAACUCACUAGAAGCAGAGUGUACUCUGAGAGAAACAUUAGAAAAACAGUUACUUGUUCCUGUGGUUCAGAAAUAAGGACGAGUCCUAAAGCGUUGAUAGUGUGCAGGGAGAAGAAAGAGUGAUGAAACUUAAGUGAGAGCACAAUGGGGUUUUGUUACACAUCAGGGUAUGAAGGCGGGAGCUGAAGGAGGAAGGGGGAGCCAAAGAAGUGCCAGGUUUCUGCCUAAGGCUUACCUCAGAGAAGGACAAAAGGAUAUUAGCAUCUUGUUAAUAAAGGCAACUCUUCACACCUGGAGUUUUCCCAGAGCCUGAAGUACGGGGACACCUUUCACAUGUGCGGAGGAAAGAAUCCUAGAAUUUUAUAGUUGAAAAAGAAUUCUGAGAUUGCCUAGGCUCACCUCAUCAACAUCAAAAAGGAACGAGAAAAAUUAAGUGUUUUGUCUCAGAUUACAUUCCUGGUUAAUGACAGAAUAGCAUCAG
rnacentral:lncRNA from 1 species